CCUGUAGCUUAAACCAACAAAGCAUAACACUGAAGAUGUUAAGAUGGUUCUUUAAACCCACGGACA
rnacentral:tRNA from 1 species